UGGGGAAUAUUGCACAAUGGGCGGAAGCCUGAUGCAGCGACGCCGCGUGGGGGAUGAAGGCCUUCGGGUUGUAAACUCCUUUCGACAGGGACGAAGCUUUUGUGACGGUACCUGUAUAAGAAGCACCGGCUAACUACGUGCCAGCAGCCGCGGUAAUACGUAGGGUGCGAGCGUUGUCCGGAAUUACUGGGCGUAAAGAGCUCGUAGGUGGUUUGUCGCGUCGUCUGUGAAAUUCCGGGGCUUAACUCCGGGCGUGCAGGCGAUACGGGCUGACUUGAGUGCUGUAGGGGAGACUGGAAUUCUUGGUGUAGCGGUGAAAUGCGCAGAUAUCAGGAGGAACACCGAUGGCGAAGGCAGGUCUCUGGGCAGUAACUGACGCUGAGGAGCGAAAGCAUGGGUAGCGAACAGG
rnacentral:rRNA from 1 species